UACCUGUAGAAUUGACAGAUCGAGGGGUCUUUCUCGAUUGAGUGGAAGGAGAUGCAUAACCGUUUUUAGUUGGUGGAGCAAUUCGUUUGAUUGUUUCCGACAUCUAACGAUAUUCUGACCCGUUAACCAGCGCGUUAAUUAGCGCUUCUCCGUUAAUUAGCGCUUCGUCGGUGGUACCGCGUACGGUCCGGGAUUGCCAGUGACAGUUGCCUUUAUCUUCUCAUCUUACCUAGUUUAACGGGAUUAUUCAGAAAACUUAGUACAUAUUUGGUUUCUGAGUCGUAAUUAUUUGAUGGUUUGACCCAUACUGCUUGCGGUGACGCUCCUCAUGGUGAUGACGUAAUAUUCUUCCAUUAUUAUAACAAAGCACUGAAUAAUAGUAGAUUUAGA
rnacentral:ncRNA from 1 species